CAGUAGCCACGGGAAUACGAAGGGUGCAAGCGUUAAUCGGAAUUACUGGGCGUAAAGCGUGCGUAGGCGGUGAGUUAAGUCUGCUGUGAAAUCCCCGGGCUCAACCUGGGAAUGGCAGUGGAUACUGGCUCGCUAGAGUGUGUCAGAGGAUGGUGGAAUUCCCGGUGUAGCGGUGAAAUGCGUAGAGAUCGGGAGGAACAUCAGUGGCGAAGGCGGCCAUCUGGGACAACACUGACGCUGAGGCACGAAAGCGUGGGGAGCAAACAGGAUUAGAUACCCCCGUAGUCCCUGUCUCUUAUAA
rnacentral:rRNA from 1 species